AUAUUCAUUUACCUUUUUGUUCCGGAAACAAAAGGACAGUCCCUAGAGGAGAUAGACCAGCAGUUCUCCAGGAAAAGGGUUUGGGAAGGAAAUGUGUUCAAGCAGAGACGUGGACAAGGAGCGAGCUGCACACACGCACAGUACCAGAGGGUGGAGCACACCAACAGCCCAUGAAACCAUCAACGUGCCUUCAGCAUCGUGUCUGAGCAGCUUUUCCAGGAGAGGAGCGGGCUGGGCCAUCAGGACAGUUCUUUUCCAUGGCCUUUAACUGGUGACCUCUGCUCACAGACAGUUCUCCCUGCAGUGCCUUAGCUGUGGGGACAUGCAGAUAGCUGUCCUUUGGAUCCUUGGAGGAUCGUUGUUCCCCGGCAGGGAGCACAUCCUUCCUUUGACGUCUUUAAUUCUUCAUCAUUUGUACCUCCCAUCGUUUAAGAGAUUAAUUUUUUUUUUGUACGCAGGGAUUAAAGCACAACUUUUGCCGG